GAGCUUAGGGUUUGAUCGGAAAACGUCACAGUAAGAUCCAACGGUUCUAAAUGAUCGGCACCAGUUCAAACUGCUAGCCUUUAAGCGUGAAAUUGAUUGUGCAGUAAUUUGCAGCUUCUGUGCUUAACGGUAAUAUUAUCA